UCUCGUGAUGAUCAUCCUGAUAGGGACAUCUGAUGCAACAUAUGAUGUCACAACAGGCAAGAGUAUUUAGUAGAUGCUUCUUGGGAUCUGAAG
rnacentral:snoRNA from 1 species